AUUCAGCCGUUAAUAUGUGAACAGCCGGAGUAAAAUUAUAUCGAUAAUGGCUGGGAGAGUUAUAUUGACAUGACAGUCCUGCCAGAAAGAUUUUAUGCGUCAUCUUUUCACGGCAUCUUUAGAGACCUGCGAUUGUGAACUUGCAGUCUACUUUGAAGAUGGUUAGUAAAUAGCAAAGUAAAGGAAGAUCAGAUCACCGUUAUUUUUUACCCCGUUAGCCAAAAACUUGCGCAGACAAGACAGAUUCAACGUCACUCAGAAGCAGAUGCUCAAAUCACGUUUAACCUUAACAUGCAACGGCAGACUGCAUCCUUCAUGCCACUGUAAAGGUGAAAAUAACAACUAACGCGCUCUGGCUCUUUCUCCACUGCCAGCUCAAAGGUGAAAUAGGGAAGCGAGAGACGUUCCUGGCCCUCACCUGGGCCUGAGAUGCCUGCUGGGUACCCUCAGGAUGCCAUCAGCACCUGUACCCAAACCUGGCAGCCGGACGCAAUGUGUCCUGAGGAUCUGUUCUUUUUUUUGACACAGAAGGAGAGUGGAGGAGAAAGGCAGAGUAUGCUGC